rnacentral:rRNA from 1 species
AUUGAACGCUGGCGGCACGCCUUACACAUGCAAGUCGAACGGCAGCAUAGGAGCUUGCUCCUGAUGGCGAGUGGCGAACGGGUGAGUAAUAUAUCGGAACGUGCCCUAGAGUGGGGGAUAACUAGUCGAAAGACUAGCUAAUACCGCAUACGAUCUACGGAUGAAAGUGGGGGAUCGCAAGACCUCAUGCUCCUGGAGCGGCCGAUAUCUGAUUAGCUAGUUGGUGGGGUAAAAGCCUACCAAGGCAACGAUCAGUAGCUGGUCUGAGAGGACGACCAGCCACACUGGGACUGAGACACGGCCCAGACUCCUACGGGAGGCAGCAGUGGGGAAUUUUGGACAAUGGGGGCAACCCUGAUCCAGCAAUGCCGCGUGAGUGAAGAAGGCCUUCGGGUUGUAAAGCUCUUUUGUCAGGGAAGAAACGGUAGUAGCGAAUAACUACUACUAAUGACGGUACCUGAAGAAUAAGCACCGGCUAACUACGUGCCAGCCGCCGCCGUAA